UGUUAAAAAUUUCAUCCCUUUGUACUGUUAAAAGUUGGUGUGGCUGAUAAAAUAACUAGACAAUGACACAUGGUGUCACGUGUACCUUAUCUUGACGUAUAGGGACCCCAUUUUUAAUAGUAAAAAUGGAUGAAAUUUUUAACA
rfam:Gossypium hirsutum cultivar TM-1 chromosome 22, whole genome shotgun sequence